ACCUUUGCCGCCGCAUUUGGUGAUUGUUUCCUGUGCUGGAAACGAUCCAAAAGGGAAUCCGGUGCGUUUGUCGCUGACGAACUAUUCCGGAGCUGUACCCGCAGCUGUAAAUCCCAUAAACGUAUCUGAAAUACCAUUGCCACUGUUUUCGGUAAGCAGUAUGCAGUAAAAAGUACGCAGUUCUAACACUCGAUACUCAUUACUCAUUACUCAUUACUAAAAUGGGAAGGCCUCAGAUACGGGGAUGAGCCAGAAGACCUGCCAGUGCUUUUAUCAACCG
rnacentral:ncRNA from 2 species